rnacentral:rRNA from 1 species
ACGCUCGACACCUCGGAGGCAGCAGUGAGGAAUAUUGGUCAAUGGGCGCUAGCCUGAACCAGCCAAGUAGCGUGAAGGAUGAAGGCUCUAUGGGUCGUAAACUUCUUUUAUAUAAGAAUAAAGUGCAGUAUGUAUACUGUUUUGUAUGUAUUAUAUGAAUAAGGAUCGGCUAACUCCGUGCCAGCAGCUGCGGUAAUCUGAGCGGGCUGGCAAGGC